GACGAACGCUGGCGGCGCGCUUAACACAUGCAAGUCGAGCGAAGCGGCGGACGGGUGAGUAACACGUGAGUAACCGGCCUUAGACAUUGGGAUAGCCUCGGGAAACCGGGAUUAAUACCAAAUGGUCUAAGAUGGACUCGCGUCCCAUUAGCUAGUUGGUGGGUAACGGCCCAUCAAGGCGACGAUGGGUAGCCGGCCUUAGAGGCUGAACCGCCACUUUGUCACUGAGCAACGGUCCAAACUCUACGGGAGGCAGCCGUGUGGAAUAUUGCACAAUGGCGUGAACUCUGAUGCAGCGACGCCGCGUGAACGAAGAAGGCUUUCGAGUCGUAAAGUUCUUUUAUAUGGGAAGCGGUACCAUAAGAAAAAGCCCCGGCUAACUACGUGCCAGCAGCCGCGGUAAUAC
rnacentral:rRNA from 1 species